GUAGGGUCCAAGCGUUAAUCGGAAUUACUGGGCGUAAAGCGUGCGCAGGCGGUUGUGCAAGACCGAUGUGAAAUCCCCGGGCUUAACCUGGGAAUUGCAUUGGUGACUGCACGGCUAGAGUGUGUCAGAGGGGGGUAGAAUUCCACGUGUAGCAGUGAAAUGCGUAGAGAUGUGGAGGAAUACCGAUGGCGAAGGCAGCCCCCUGGGAUAACACUGACGCUCAUGCACGAAAGCGUGGGGAGCAAACAGGAUUAGAUACCCUGGUAGUCCACGCCCCUAAACGAUGUCAACUAGUUGUUGGGGAUUCAUUUCCUUAGUAACGUAGCUAACGCGUGAAGUUGACCGCCUGGGAGUACGGUCGCAAGAUUA
rnacentral:rRNA from 1 species